UUUUCAGCUGCAGCUUAAGAAAAACAUUAACCAAAGCAAGUUCAGGUUACCUCAAAGAACGAUGAACAAAAAUGGUCAAAUUAUGGAACCAGGUUCGUGCAUGUUGGUGGGUUUGUACGGUGGAGAUGGUGCCUCCCAACGAUGGUGGCUCUCGCUUCCAGGAACAAUCACAGAGGUUUUUAGUAGCAAACUGACUUGACUCAUGAAGUUUGCAAAAAGAGGUGAUAAAUAAAGAGAAGGUUGCUUUGUAAAGGUGAAGAUGAUAUAUUAUCUUCGUUGUGCUGAGCAGGGGCGGUUCUUAGAAGGCCACGGCCCGGGCAAAAUUUUCGGCCGUAGUGCUAAUUUUUCACAUUUUGAUCGAAAUUUUUAUAUAUACUACGUUUGGCCCGGGCUUACCCGGGCUUUUUUAGUGCCCGUGUCUUUCGGCCCUGGCACGUUCAACGGGCAAGAUCCGCCACUGGUGCUGAGAUUGGAGAACUGAGGCACAAUAGGUGGUCUCUUUGUUUGGUUUUAUGCAUUGGCUAGAAACUGGACAUCUUUUAAUACACACCGAAGUG